rnacentral:rRNA from 1 species
GUGCCAGCAGCCGCGGUAAUACAGAGGGUGCAAGCGUUGCUCGGAAUCAUUGGGCGUAAAGGGUAGGUAGGUGGUCUCAUUUGUGUGGGGUGAAAGCCUUGGGCUUAACUCAAGAAGUGCCCCGCAAACGGUGAGACUGGAGUCCUAGAGAGGCUAGCGGAAUUCCCGGUGUAGCGGUGAAAUGCGUAGAGAUCGGGAGGAACACCAGAGGCGAAGGCGGCUAGCUGGAUAGGCACUGACACUCAACUACGAAAGCGUGGGGAGCAAACAGGAUUAGAUACCCUGGUAGUCC